rnacentral:rRNA from 1 species
CCUACGGGAGGCAGCAGUGAGGAAUAUUGGUCAAUGGACGAGAGUCUGAACCAGCCAAGUAGCGUGAAGGAUGACUGCCCUAUGGGUUGUAAACUUCUUUUAUAUGGGAAUAAAACGUUCCACGUGUGGGAUUUUGUAUGUACCAUAUGAAUACGGAUCGGCUAACUCCGUGCCAGCAGCCGCGGUAAUACGGAGGAUCCGAGCGUUAUCCGGAUUUAUUGGGUUUAAAGGGAGCGUAGGUGGAUUGUUAAGUCAGUUGUGAAAGUUUGCGGCUCAACCGUAAAAUUGCAGUUGAAACUGGCAGUCUUGAGUACAGUAGAGGUGGGCGGAAUUCGUGGUGUAGCGGUGAAAUGCUUAGAUAUCACGAAGAACUCUGAUUGCGAAGGCAGUUCACUGGACUGCAACUGACACUGAGGCUCGAAAGUGUGGGUAUCAAACAGGAUUAGAUACCCGAGUAGUC